rnacentral:rRNA from 1 species
UACAUGGGGUGCAAACGUUGCUCGGAAUUAUUGGGCGUAAAGCGCGCGUAGGCGGUUACUUAAGUCGGAUGUGAAAGCCCUCGGCUUAACUGAGGAAGUGCACCCGAAACUGAGUAGCUAGAGUACGAAAGAGGGUCGCGGAAUUCCCGGUGUAGAGGUGAAAUUCGUAGAUAUCGGGAGGAACACCGGUGGCGAAGGCGGCGACCUGGGUCGAGACUGACGCUGAGGCGCGAAAGCGUGGGAGCGAACAGG